rnacentral:rRNA from 1 species
CAGUAGCCGCGGGAAUACAGAGGGUGCGAGCGUUAAUCGGAUUUACUGGGCGUAAAGCGUGCGUAGGCGGCUUUUUAAGUCGGAUGUGAAAUCCCUGAGCUUAACUUAGGAAUUGCAUUCGAUACUGGGAAGCUAGAGUAUGGGAGAGGAUGGUAGAAUUCCAGGUGUAGCGGUGAAAUGCGUAGAGAUCUGGAGGAAUACCGAUGGCGAAGGCAGCCAUCUGGCCUAACACUGACGCUGAGGUACGAAAGCAUGGGGAGCAAACAGGAUUAGAUACCCCGGUAGUCCCUGUCUCUUAUAC